rnacentral:rRNA from 1 species
CCCGGUGAGACCUAGUCUUUAACGGCCGCAGUUAGUAGCUGUGCUAAGGUAGCGUAGUCAGUUGCCCCUUAAUUAGGGGAAGGAAUGAAUGGUUUGACGUAAUGGAAUCUGUCUUUGAGAUAAUGUAGGAAUUUUUCUUUUUAGUGAAGAGACUAAAUCUAAUUUACCAGACGAGAAGACCCUGUCGAGCUUAAUAAAAGCAGUAAAUUUUUUCUGGUGGAAAUUUGAUUGGGGCAAUCUAGGAGUAAAAUAAGCCUCCUUUUGUUUAACAAAGAGCCAUAAUUUUUGAAAUCGGAAGAAGCUACCGUAGGGAUAACAGCGUUAUCCUUUCUGAGAGAACAUAUUGAAGAAAGG